GAACUGAAGAGUUUGAUCAUGGCUCAGAUUGAACGCUGGCGGCAGGCCUAACACAUGCAAGUCGAGCGGAUGAAGGGAGCUUGCUCCCUGAUUCAGCGGCGGACGGGUGAGUAAUGCCUAGGAAUCUGCCUGGUAGUGGGGGACAACGUUUCGAAAGGAACGCUAAUACCGCAUACGUCCUACGGGAGAAAGCAGGGGACCUUCGGGCCUUGCGCU
rnacentral:rRNA from 1 species